rnacentral:snRNA from 1 species
AUACCUUUCUCGGCCUUUUGGCUAAGAUCAAGUGUAGUAUCUGUUCUUAUCAGUUUAAUAUCUGAUAUGUGGGUCAUGUCCCCACAACGAUAUUAAAUUUAUUUUU